rnacentral:rRNA from 1 species
UCUCAGAGGCGAUGAAGGACGUGAUAAGCUGCGAAAAGCUGCGGGGAUUGGCACACACAAUUUGAUCCGCAGAUAUCCGAAUGGGGAAACCCACUAUAUUGAAGAUAUAGUAUCCGAAAGGAAGCGAACCCGGAGAACUGAAACAUCUAAGUAACCGGAGGAAAAGAAAUCAACCGAGAUUCCCUGAGUAGCGGCGAGCGAAAGGGGAGCAGCCUGCAAGUGAUAGCAGAAGUGUUAGUGGAACAGUCUGGAAAGUCUGGCAAUAGAGGGUGAUAGCCCCGUACACGAAAACACAUCUGUGGUACUAAGCUUGCGUAAAGUAGGUCGGGACACGAGUUAUCUUGACUGAACAUGGGGGGACCAUCCUCCAAGGCUAAAUACUACCAACUGACCGAUAGUGAACUAGUACCGUGAGGGAAAGGUUAAAAGAACCCCGGAGAGGGGAGUGAAAUAGAUCCUGAAACCGUAUGCGUACAAGCAGUAGGAGCAGACUUGUUCUGUGACUGCGUACCUUUUGUAUAAUGGGUCAGCGACUUAUUGUCUGUAGCAAGCUUAACCGUUUAGGGGAGGCGUAGGGAAACCGAGUCUUAAUAGGGCGCUCAGUUGCUGGAAUUAGACCCGAAACCGGGUGAUCUAUCCAUGGCCAGUGUGAAGGUCGAGUAACAUCGACUGGAGGCGCGAACCCACUUAUGUUGAAAAAUGAGGGGAUGAGCUGUGGAUAGGAGUGAAAGGCUAAUCAAACCCGGAGAUAGCUGGUUCUCUUCGAAAACUAUUUAGGUAGUGCCUCGUGUAUUACUGUAGGGGGUAGAGCACUGUUUCGGCUAGGGGGUCAUCCCGACUUACCAAACCGAUGCAAACUCCGAAUACCUACAAGUAUGAGCACGGGAGACAGACUGCGGGUGCUAACGUCCGUAGUCGAGAGGGAAACAACCCAGACUGUCAGCUAAGGUCCCAAAUUAUGAUUAAGUGGGAAACAAUGUGGGAAGGCACAAACAGCUAGGAGGUUGGCUUAGAAGCAGCCAUCCUUUAAAGAAAGCGUAAUAGCUCACUAGUCGAGUCGGCCUGCGUGGAAGAUAUAACGGGGCUAAAUCAUAAACCGAAGCUACAGAUCUUAAAUUUAUUUAAGAUGGUAGAAGAGCGUUCUGUAAGCGGUUGAAGGUAAGCUGAGAGGCGAACUGGACGUAUCAGAAGUGCGAAUGUUGACAUGAGUAACGAUCAAAGAGGUGAAAAACCUCUUCGCCGAAAAACCAAGGGUUCCUGUCCAACGCUAAUCGUGGCAGGGUGAGGCGGCCCCUAAGGCGAGGGCGAAAGCCGUAGUCGAUGGGAAACAGGUUAAUAUUCCUGUACUUUUUAUAACUGCGAUGGGGUGACGGAGAAGGUUAGGCUAGCACGGCGACGGUUGUCCGUGUUCAAGGUUGUAGGCUGGUGUUCUAGGUAAAUCCGGAACGCUAAGGCUGAGGACUGAUAACGACCACUCUAUGAGUGGGAAGUAGUCGAUACCAUGCUUCCAGGAAAAACCUCUAAGCUUCAGGUUAUAAGAAACCGUACCCUAAACCGACACAGGUGGUUAGGUCGAGUAGACCAAGGUGUUUGAGAGAACUAUGGUGAAGGAACUAGGCAAAAUAGCACCGUAACUUCGGGAGAAGGUGCGCUACGUUUGGUGAUGGGACUUGCUCCUUGAGCUAAACGUAGUCGAAGAUACCAGGUGGCUGCGACUGUUUACUAAAAACAUAGCACUCUGCAAACUCGUAAGAGGAAGUAUAGGGUGUGACGCCUGCCCGGUGCCGGAAGGUUAAUUGAUGGGGUUAGCUUCGGCGAAGCUCUUGAUCGAAGCCCCGGUAAACGGCGGCCGUAACUAUAACGGUCCUAAGGUAGCGAAAUUCCUUGUCGGGUAAGUUCCGACCUGCACGAAUGGCGUAACGAUGGCCACACUGUCUCCACCAUAGACUCAGUGAAAUUGAAAUCGCUGUUAAGAUGCAGUGUACCCGCAGCUAGACGGAAAGACCCCGUGCACCUUUACUAUAGGUUCACACUGGACUUUGACCUUACUUGUGUAGGAUAGGUGGGAGACUUUGAAGCAGAAACGCCAGUUUUAGUGGAGUCAUCCUUGAAAUACCACCCUUGUAAGAUUGAAGUUCUAACCUAGGUCCAUUAUCUGGAUCAGGGACAGUGUAUGCUGGGUAGUUUGACUGGGGCGGUCUCCUCCUAAAGAGUAACGGAGGAGUACGAAGGUAUCCUUAUCACGGUCGGACAUCGUGAGGUAAGUAUAAAGGCAGAAGGAUGCUUGACUGCGAGAUCGACGGAUCGAGCAGGUAGGAAACUAGGUCUUAGUGAUCCGGUGGUUCUGAAUGGAAGGGCCAUCGCUCAACGGAUAAAAGGUACGCCGGGGAUAACAGGCUGAUACCGCCCAAGAGUUCAUAUCGACGGCGGUGUUU